rnacentral:rRNA from 1 species
AUUGAACGCUGGCGGCAGGCCUAACACAUGCAAGUCGAACGAGUGGCGGACGGGUGACUUAUGUCUGGGACACUGCCUGAUGGAUGGGGAUCACUACUGGAAACGGUAGCUAAUACCGCAUACCAUCAGAUGUGCCCAGAUGGGUGGAGCUUGUUGGUGGGGUAACGGCUCACCAAGGCGACGAUCUCUAGCUGGUCUGAGAGGAUUACCAGCAACACUGGAACGGAGAAACGGUCCAGACUCCUACGGGAGGCAGCAGUGGGGAAUAUUGCACAAUGGGCGAAAGCCUGAUACAGCCAUGCAGCGUGUAUGAAGAAGGCCUUCGGGUUGUAAAGUACUUUCAGCGGGGAGGCGUUACCCGCAGAAGAAGCACCGGCUAACUCCGUGCCAGCAGCCGCGGUAAUAC